UACGGGACUCACUCCAGGCUCCGUAAUUCGAUUGAGUACAACCUAAAUCCUUUAACGAGGACCAAUUGGAGGGCAAGUCUGGUGCCAGCAGCCGCGGUAACUCCAGCUCCAAAUGCGUAUAUUAAAGUUGCUGCAGUUAAAAAGCUCGUAGUUGGAUCUGGGUCGCGCGUUCUCAUGUCGUUUCCUGAUUCUGAUUUCGGUCAGUUUCAGGCGAUGGUAAAGUGGUCGUGCAGCCUUUCAGCCGUGUCUGCGUAAGCAGGUGUUGGCUGGCUGGUGAGCUUGCUUCCUGGUCAGUUGACAUGUUUCCUGAUGCCUUUAAACGGGUGUCGGGGGCGUACGGCACUUUUACUUUGAACAAAUUUGAGUGCUCAAAGCAGGCCGAUGUGCCUGAAGAGUCUUGCAUGGAAUAAUGGAAUAGGACUUCGGUUCUAUAUUGUUGGUUUCCGGAUCCGAAGUAAUGGUUAAGAGGAACAGACGGGGGCAUUUGUAUGGCGGCGUGAGAGGUGAAAUUCUAUGAUCGUCGCCAGACAAACUACAGCGAAAGCAUUUGCCAAGAAUGUUUUCAUUGAUCAGGAGCGAAAGUCUGAGGUUCGAAGACGAUCAGAUACCGUCCUAGUUCUGACCAUAAACGAUGCCAACUGACGAUCCGCGGCGGUUCUUUAAUUGGCCCCGCGGGCACUCCCCGGGAAACCCUUAAGUCUUUGGGCUCCGGGGGAAGUAUGGUUGCAAAGCUGAAACUUAAAGGAAUUGACGGAAGGGCACCACCAGGAGUGGAGCCUGCGGCUUAAUUCGAGUCAACACGGGAAAACUCACCCGGCCCGGACACUGUGAGGUUUGACAGAUUGAUAGCUCUUUCUUGAUUCGGUGGUUGGUGGUGCAUGGCCGUUCUUAGUUGGUGGAGCGAUUUGUCUGGUUAAUUCCGAUAACGAACGAGACUUUGUCCUACUAAUUAGUUUGCCUAUCCUCUGUGCUCGUGCAGA
rnacentral:rRNA from 1 species